AUGUCUAGUAUGUCCCAUAGCUGAGGGGCCAUCAUGGCCAUGAAGGAGAAGAGUUGCAUGGCUAUAGCUGCAGACAGGCGCUUCGGAAUCCAGGCCCAAAUGGUUACCACGGACUUCCAGAAGAUCUUUCCCAUGGAUGACCGGCUCUAUAUCCAUCUGGCCCGGCUGGUCACUGAUAUCCAGGCAGUUGUCCAGUGCCUCAAGUUCCGGCUGAACCUGUGUGAGUUGAAGGAAGGUCAGCUGUCAAAUCUUACACCCUUAUGAGCAUGGUGGCCAAGGCCUCUUGUCUGAGAAACGGUUUGGCCCCUACUAUACUGAGCCAGUCAUUGCUGGGUUGGACCUGAAGACCUUUAAGCCCUUUAUUUGCUCUCUAGACCUCACUGGCUGCCCCAUGGUGACUGACGACUUUAUGGUCAGUGGCACCUGUGCAGAACAAAUGUAUGAAAUGUGCGAGUCCCUCUGGGAGUCCAACAUGGAUCCAGAACACCUGUUUGAAAUCAUAUUCCAAGCCAUGAGGAAUGCUGUGGACCAGAAUGCAGUGUCAGGCAUGGGAGUCAUUGUCCACAUCACUGAGAAGGACAAAAUCACCACCAGGACACUGAAGGCCCUAAUGGACUAACCCUGCUCCCAGAGCC